rnacentral:misc_RNA from 1 species
AGUAGUCGAUGACACUUGGUUUCCAGUAGAUUUUAACGAAAUUAAAAGAUAUUUUGCAUUGUCCAUAAUAAUGGCAUAGGUAAAAAACUAAGGAUAACAAUGAAUUGGACGAAGAGGGCUGUUAUCGAAACGCCGAUAUUUAGAAAAUCAAUGCCUUUGAAAAGAUAUCUGCAAAUUACAAGGUGUUUGCAUUUCGCAAACAAUAAUCUGGUUGCCAAUACAGAUAAAUUGAGCAAGAUUAAACCUUGUAUUACAGAAUACAACAAGGAAAUGAAUGGAAUUGAUCUCCAAGACCAAAUAUUAGCAUGCUAUCCAGUAAUGAGGAAAUACAUGAAAGGAUAUAAAAAAAAUUUUUUUU